AGCGAACGUUUGCGGCGGGCUUAACACAUGCAAGUCGAACGAGAAUCCCUUCGGGGAGGAAAGUGGCGCACGGGUGCGUAACACGUGGAUAACCAACCCAUUGGUUUGGGACAACACCGGGAAACUGGUGCUAAUACCAGAUGUGUCGCAGCUGUCUUCAGGCGGUUGCGAGAAAGGCCCGCAAGGGUCGCCAACGGACGGGUCCGCGUCCCAUCAGCUAGUUGGUGAGGUAAUGGCUCACCAAGGCAAAGACGGGUAGCUGGUCUGAGAGGAUGAUCAGCCACACGGGUACUGAGACACGGACCCGACUCCUACGGGAGGCAGCAGUAAGGAAUAUUGGUCAAUGGAGGGAACUCUGAACCAGCCAUGCCGCGUGAAGGAUGACGGCCCUCUGGGUUGUAAACUUCUUUUGGAUGGGGCGAAAAAACGGGAUUUAUCCUGGACUGACGGUACCAUCAGAAUAAGCACCGGCUAACUCCGUG
rnacentral:rRNA from 1 species